AUGUUGCACUCGUCACUUCACUGCAAAGUCCCAAAUGGCGCAAUCGACAUUACNNNNNNNNNNUUGGUUCUUAUUUUCCUAAAUGCCUUGACGGAUGCACCACAUUACCUCAUGGAGUUCAUACAAGGCACCCCAACUCCAAUGGUUGUGAUUCUUGAUCUGCUCCCACGGGAAGACCUCGCGCUCCACCCGGAGUACCUCCACAAGUACUAUGAACAUACUCACUUGGACAACCAACGUGAGAAAAUUGAAGAAUUGCCACAAACCCGUCCGUACAGGUCGUCGUCGCUCUUUGUGCGCAGUGCAUGUUCUCCAACAGCGGUGUCGGUCACCAUCAACUGCGGGCAAGGAGGGGAGGGUACCAUGGAAGAGAUAGUGUGUGGUCAGCUUGCGUCAGUUGUCAAGGAGGUUCUUCGAAUCUGGCUUCAUACUUGUGCUGGUGACACCUCCGAAAUGGAAGAGGCCGAGAGGGAGAUAAUGAUCAAGAGGGACCAAGCUGUAAGAUUAAAAUCAAUUGAGGUCGACCUAACUGCAAAUCUGCCUAGGAUGUUUGGUCCUGAUGUGUCUGGCCACAUCAUUGCUGAAAUCCGUAAGGCCUUUGGGGUACAACUACAAGAGGCCUAG
rnacentral:rRNA from 1 species